GGGGGGGAAGGGGAAUUUCCUUGGGUUGGCGGGGAAAAGGGUAGGGGAUUGGGGAGGAACCCCCAGGGGGGGAGGGGGGUUUUUUUUGGCUGUAACCUGACGCUGGGGGUUGGAAAGCGGGGGGGACAAAACAGGAUUAGAUACCCUGGUAGUUCCCCGCCGUAAAACGAGAAAUACUAGGGGUAGGGGUGGUCAGACCUUCUGUGCCGCCGUUAACGCAUUAAGUAUUCCGCCUGGGGGAGUACGGUCGCAAGAUUAAAACUCAAAGGAAUUGACGGGGGCCCGCACAAGCAGCGGAGCAUGUGGUUUAAUUCGAAGCAACGCGAAGAACCUUACCUAGACUUGACAUCUCCUGCAUUACUCUUAAUCGAGGAAGUCCCUUCGGGGACAGGAUGACAGGUGGUGCAUGGUUGUCGUCAGCUCGUGUCGUGAGAUGUUGGGUUAAGUCCCGCAACGAGCGCAACCCUUAUUGUUAGUUGCCAUCAUUAAGUUGGGCACUCUAGCGAGACUGCCCGGGUUAGCCGGGAGGAAGGUGGGGAUGACGUCAAAUCAUCAUGCCCCUUAUGUCUAGGGCUACACACGUGCUACAAUGGUCGGUACAAUAAGACGCAAGCCCGCGAGGGGGAGCAAAACUGGAAAACCGAUCUCAGUUCGGAUUGUAGGCUGAAACUCGCCUACAUGAAGCUGGAGUUGCUAGUAAUCGCGAAUCAGCAUGUCGCGGUGAAUACGUUCCCGGGCCUUGUACACACCGCCCGUCA
rnacentral:rRNA from 1 species